CAACAAACAAAUUUGCAAACAGCACUUGAAUCCGCCUGGGGUUUGAUAUGUAAUCAGUGAAACUACUUCUUACUUAACAGCCAUAUGGUAUAAGCAACGUAUGAAACAUACACACAUUGAAGAAGCCGAAUUACAGUUUAAAUAAUUUUACUCUCAGCUGAGCCACAUCAAAGCUUUAGAAAAGUGAACUGCACGUCAAAGGAUUCUUUGAAUCAUCUAAAGAACUUAUUUUGUUCAAAGCAAAACAUUUCCCUCACAUAAGCUUAUGUGCUACUAAAAAAAGGAAGUUAAAGUGAAUGUGGUAUAGUUUUACACAUUGCUCUUUAAAGAAAAUGCUCUUUUGGUUAAAUGAUGUUGAAUUAAUAACAAAAAUGUGUACCUUUGAACUGAUUUCUCAAGAAAGGCAGACCAGAUGUGUUCCAUUGCACUGAAAACAAUUCAGCUAAAGUCGUUUAAUGAAGUGUAAGGACACUCACUCCCUGAGUGUGCUAUACAGAAGUCACAUAAGGUGUCAAAGUGAAAUCCACUAGACGAUGCAUCUGUAAGCCUUUCAGAACUUAACAAAAGCCUGUACAACCUCCUUGUCUGCACCACACCACCAUGAUCACCGACUGGAUCACUAGCACAAGUGAACAACGGAAAAAAAAAAGUUUUGUUCUUAACAAAAACAAAUAAAAGACCUUUACCAGCAUGACAGAAAA